UGUUAAUUACUUUUAUCGUAUUAAUUUUAUCCUGGAAGAAAGGUUAAAAUUCUGUUAAAAACUGUACGAGUAGUACCUUACAUCCCAGUAUUUGUUACCUAAAAUUUUUCUCGAAUUACAUUGUUGCCAAUUAUAUUAUUAUUAUUAUUAUUAUUAGCGAGUGAGGCGAAUUUAUCUUACACGUGAAAAGUGGAUCCAGGAUAGAUUCAAGAACCACUGGUGCACGGGUUAUAUUAUGGGAUGCGCCCGUGGCCGGGUACGGUCCGACUUAACGAUUUAAUAAUUGCGCGGUACCCUUCGUUCUCCAAACAACGCACGAUCAUUAAGCGCGAUAUAAUUCGUUCCUCUCGGGAUUUGAUAUGCAACCGGCUUGACGAGGACCUCCGCCGUUUCGCUUUCACGUUAUUAUUAGCCGUGUAACAACAUAAUGACGCGAGGAAAGCGCCUGGUUCGCGUCGAUUAGUUCGACAGAAGGAUGCUUCCGUGAUCCGGUCUUUCUUGUACGUUGUCGGGUUAAAAAUUCGGUCGGGAAAAUAUUGAUGUGAUAAUCGUUUGAGAAUUUAAUUUUAAUACAUCUUGGAGAUAAAUAAGUUGCAACUAAAAGAAAUUUUAAGUGAAUGUGAUGGAAGUAGUUGGAAAGUAUUUACGUUGAAAAUAUUGCGAGUGGAAUAGUUAAAGGACAAAUUUUUAAUCUAAUAAACUACCGAUGUAUCGGUGGCGCACACAAGGUAAAUCUGAAUUUUAAUAAACGAGGAACGGUGUUUCUCCGACGAGCGUGUAAUAAAUUUCGUGAAAAUAAUAACCGAAUAAUGUAUAAACGAAGAAAAUGAUUAUAUUACACGUUACAUCGAUCAUUUCAAGUGUAAAAAAUAUUAUAAAAUAAUGCUUCGUUAUAUUAAUUACACGAUUAAUAUUUUUCUUAUCUUAAUGAUAUUAUUUCUUAUUUCGCGUAAUAUUAUCCGCUCGACCGAUCAGCAGUGGAGGGUUCGGAACGUGAAACGCCGCAAGAAAUUUUCCACGGAAGCUUCCGUGCUCCAAUUAACGGGAAAGAUUCGUCCACGGUACGUAUCCGGUGAAACGAACAGAAAUUUCAUCGUAAUUUUCUCGCUAUUUUCUCACGUUUCGUCUCACGUUUCGAACCGAGUUUAUAUUGCCUCGUUAAACGAAUCGUGUAAGGAAGAUACUCCUCGUGUCAUAAGCGAUCCAUUUCCGCGCUUUCUGUUACGAGCGUGAAACGUGUACAUACUAUGUUUUACACUCUACUCUGUUCUCGUGAAAAACUGAUACAUCCUCGUGAUUCACUUGUCAGCGAUAUUAUCAACUUGAAUGAUGCCUGCAGAGUCGUCAAGAGCACGAUAAAUGUAUGAGAAUCGUAAUAGUUUUUAAAUUGAGUAAUAAAGUGAUACAGUAUAUAUAUAUGUAUAUAUUACCUAUGUAUAUAGUUCUUGUUGCAUCAUCAUGUGUAAACUGUUUAUUUCUAUUCAGUUUCCUUCCUACAAAAAAUUUAAUUUUUUAUUAAAAUUUAAUUUAAUAUUUAUCAUUCUAAAAAUAAUAAUAAUAAUAAUAAUAAUCGGUGCGAAAUAUAUAAAUUUUAUAUUAUUUCAUUCGUUAUCGAUUCAUCUGGUAAUUUAUCUAUCUCUUUGUUUUAAUAUCCAGACUAUGUCAUAAAUUCUUUGAAUGAUCUUGAAUAUGUGGAUAAUCGUUAUUCUUAAUUUUCAAUUAAAUUAAUGAUUGAAGGAGAAUGAGAAUCAUAGUAAAUUUAAUUGAUAGAAUUGUGUGUUAUAAUUUUAUGUUAUUUUAAGUUAAUACCGAUAUCUUGAUGUAACAGUGACACAAAUUAAAGCCAAUAAUGUCCAAUAAAAUCGAAAAA